rnacentral:rRNA from 1 species
GGGCCCGCACAAGCAGCGGAGCAUGUGGCUUAAUUCGAAGCAACGCGAAGAACCUUACCAGGGCUUGACAUAUGGGUGAAGCGGGGGAGACCCCGUGGCCGAGAGGAGCCCAUACAGGUGGUGCAUGGCUGUCGUCAGCUCGUGUCGUGAGAUGUUGGGUUAAGUCCCGCAACGAGCGCAACCCCCGCCGCGUGUUGCCAUCGGGUGAUGCCGGGAACCCACGCGGGACCGCCGCCGUCAAGGCGGAGGAGGGCGGGGACGACGUCAAGUCAUCAUGCCCCUUAUGCCCUGGGCUGCACACGUGCUACAAUGGCCGGUACAGAGGGAUGCCACCCCGCGAGGGGGAGCGGAUCCCGGAAAGCCGGCCCCAGUUCGGAUUGGGGGCUGCAACCCGCCCCCAUGAAGUCGGAGUUGCUAGUAAUCGCGGAUCAGCAUGCCGCGGUGAAUGCGUUCCCGGGCCUU